GACGGAGGAUGCAAGCGUUAUCCGGAAUUAUUGGGCGUAAAGCGUCCGCAGGUGGACAUACAAGUCUGCUGUCAAAGUGCAGAGCUUAACUCUGUAAAGGCGGUGGAAACUGUAGGUCUUGAGUAUGGUAGGGGUAGAGGGAAUUCCCGGUGUAGCGGUGAAAUGCGUAGAUAUCGGGAAGAACACCAGUGGCGAAAGCGCUCUGCUGGACCAUAACUGACACUCAGGGACGAAAGCUAGGGGAGCGAAUGGG
rnacentral:rRNA from 1 species